UACGUAGGGUGCGAGCGUUAAUCGGAAUUACUGGGCGUAAAGCGUGCGCAGGCGGCCGAGCAAGUCGAGUGUGAAAGCCCCGGGCUUAACUUGGGAAUUGCGCUCGAAACUACUUGGCUGGAGUGUGGCAGAGGAAGGUGGAAUUCCAGGUGUAGCGGUGAAAUGCGUAGAGAUCUGGAGGAACACCGAUGGCGAAGGCAGCCUUCUGGGCCAACACUGACGCUCAUGCACGAAAGCGUGGGGAGCAAACAGG
rnacentral:rRNA from 1 species